AUUUUGCUCUCACAUAAUCUUCACCUGAGCUCCUCACCUGGCCGAGCUCCGCUCGCGCGCCCUCCCUUUCUAACUCGUGCACGGCGCUCCCCACGGCUACCUCCAUGAUCAGCUCCACCUGCGAAGAGAACGUGCUCAGGGCUGCCAUGUUGUCUUUGUCCCGUGCCGGUCCGCGCGCACACAUUAUCGGAGGCUCGGAGGAACCGACCGAGGAGGGUUCGGGUCAGCCGGUCCGGGUCAGAGGUCAGACGAAUACACUCUCCGCGGGAUGAUUCCCCGCUCUCUUUGCAGCCAACAUGGCGGUCUGACGCGAUGGUUACUUCCGGGUCAGAAGGCGAAUCUCUCUUCUUUUCCUUCUUCGUGGUAGUACCACCACAUGCUGGAGGAAAGCCUGCCUCGCUUGUUCAGUGUGAGGCCACAGCCUCCUCCUGGUCCUCCCAGUCCUCCCACAGCAGCACAUCAGCAAAGUGGAACCUCCCACUCUUACCGACAGCUAAGUCAACGCUAAAUCUCUUCUUUCACAUGUCUCCAGAAUAAUGAUAUGUUUCUGUGCACCACAUCCAUAGCUUCCUCCGUCUUUGCCCCCAUAUCAGGUGCAAUUUCAGAAAGUAUUCAAAGGAAGAGGUUAUCAAAUGAAAAAUGAGACAGGAGAUGAAGAAGGUUUGCAGGAGUACUAAGAGGCUAGGUGUGCAGAUAAGAGAGAGGUGGCAAAUUAGAACGAAAAGGCUUAUAGUGAGCUGUAUGUGAGGCUGGACACUAACGAGAUGAGAACUUGUAUCGAUCGGCAGAGAUGGAGCUGAGAGGAUGUGGAGGAUGGAUGAGUUCAGGCAGGAGGGAAGAAGAAGACCUCAGAGAGAGCUCAUGGAUGUAGUGAAAGAGAACAUGCAGAGGGUUGGUGAGAAAGACGAGGAUGAUCCAUUGUGGCAACCUGUAAAGGGAGCAGCUGAAAGAAAAAGAGGAAGCUUUGUGUCCCAAACUGUGAGGGUGUCUGUCCAGAAGAUCGUCUGAGAUACUGAAGCGUCACACUCUCUGGUCUUGGGUAAAAGGUCACUCAGAGGUGAGCUGGUGUUGUGGUGCUGGAACCACAGUUUCCCUCAGGCGACCUCCCCAAGAGAGAACUAAAGUUCUGCUGGAUACCAGAGGGAGAUAUAUUUCUGUCUGUAACACGCUGGACAUAUUUUUGCUAAGUUUAUUUAAAAUCAGAAUCACAGUUUAAGAGAAAUCUCACGUCUGAAAACAGACAGUCACUAAUGUUUUACUCAGCAUUCUUUGCUUUGACCCAGUAAAACCAUGAAUCUGAAUCCACA
ensembl:lncRNA